GGGACUGGACUCGGCUUGGGCGUGAGAUGGCGGCGGCAGCGGUGAGCAGCGCCAAGCGGAGCCUGCGGGGAGAGCUGAAGCAGCGUCUGCGGGCGAUGAGUGCCGAGGAGCGGCUACGCCAGUCCCGCGUACUGAGCCAGAAGGUGCGAGGCCGCCCGUAGCGGAAGCCGCGGCGGACAGACCCUCCGAAGGCCUGGCGGCCAGCGAUUGCUGAUCUGUGCAUGGUGAUUGCCCACAGUGAGUAUCAAAAGUCCAAAAGAAUUUCCAUCUUUCUGAGCAUGCAAGAUGAAAUUGAGACAGAAGAGAUCAUCAAGGACAUUUUCCAACGAGGCAAAAUCUGCUUCAUCCCUCGGUACCGGUUCCAGAGCAAUCACAUGGAUAUGGUGAGAAUAGAAUCACCAGAGGAAAUUUCUUUACUUCCCAAAACAUCCUGGAAUAUCCCUCAGCCUGGUGAGGGUGAUGUUCGGGAGGAGGCCUUGUCCACAGGGGGACUUGAUCUCAUCUUCAUGCCAGGCCUUGGGUUUGACAAACAUGGCAACCGACUGGGGAGGGGCAAGGGCUACUAUGAUGCCUAUCUGAAGCGCUGUUUGCAGCAUCAGGAAGUGAAGCCCUACACCCUGGCGUUGGCUUUCAAAGAACAGAUUUGCCUCCAGGUCCCAGUGAAUGAAAACGACAUGAAGGUAGAUGAAGUCCUUUACGAAGACUCGUCAACAGCUUAAAUCUGGAUUACUACAGCCAAAUAAUCAGUGUUUUAUAUGAGAGUAAAGCAAAGUAUGUGUAUUUUUCCCUUGUCAAAAAUUAGUUGAAAUUGUUCAUUAAUGUGAAUACAGACUGCAUUUUAAAAUUGUAAUUAUGAAAUACCUUAUAUAAAACCAUCUUUAAAAACCAAUAGAAGUGUGAAUAGUAGAAUAUUAAUUAAAAUGGAGGCUAUCAGCCUGUGAUUUUCAGCUUAACUUCCUGGUGUUAAUGUGACAAGUUGAUCUGUCUACUUUGCAAUUUAAGUUAAAUAUUUAUGAGGAACUGUGCUCCGACUGAGUGCGAGAGGAAGGUAAACUUGCGGGAGUGGGCACUGUAUUUCAUUACGCCUUUCAUGACCUGGUCUGUCCUGGCAGGCACAUGGAGACUUGGGGACUAUUAAUUUAUUUGUUGGUAUUUGCUUUGGAUACAGAAUUCCCUAAGAAUAUUAUCUCACUUCAUCAUGACUUCCUUUACCCACUCUAGAAUUUUAUGUUGGACACUUUGUAGCUUUUGGUGGUUAGUGGAGGGAAACCUUUUAUGAUUUAAAUACUUUUACUCCACUGAUUGGUUACCAUCACUGCAUGUAUCAGCCCUUGAUGAGUUUAAGAUCUAGUAUCUUAUAAGUUAGAAAUUAUUUCUGUUUACUCAUGGUUUCUGCUUUGGAAAUGAAAUUUGCUGUGAGUUGAAAGUUGGCAGAUGGCAACACAGCUAGGGAGCAAUAAUUUUGUUGUGGGGAGGAUUUGGUCAUCUCCAGAAACCCGGGAGUCACGUGGCUCUCUUACUCACACUCCAUGUCCAUCCUGUCACCAGGUCUUGUUGAUUUUGCCUCUGAAAUGCCUCUUAAAUCUAUUCUCUCCUUUCAAUUUUCCUGUCACUCCUUUUGUCCAGCCUUUUAGCAUUUCUAAGCUGGACUAGGCGAGAGUGUCACACCUGCUUCCCUUGGCUUCCAUCUUGCCUCUUCCAGUUUAUUUCUCAAGCUGCAGUCAAACUGAUCUUAGAAAACACGAAUCUAAUCAUGCAGCACCCCUGACUAAGGUCUUCCGGUGGCUGUUCAGAGCCUCUUGGGUAGCAAACAGAUGGCUUCUGUUGUAUACAAAGCCCCUUAAGAGAGGUCUCCUCAUCUACUUUUUCUAGCCUCUUCUCUCCCAACUCUGUAUUCUCCUGUAACACUGACUGAGCACUGCAGGCUUCUGCCCUUUGCACAUAGUAAGCAUGCAUUUCUCUCUGUCUGAAAUGCUCUUUCUGUUGUUCAUCUAGAAGACUGUUUUCCCUUGAAGACUCAGCCCUAGCAUCACCUCUUCUGUGAAGUCUUCUGCUACUUUCCCAAGCAGAGUGAGUGUUCCUUCCCUUGUCUGAGUGGCCUUGGCCAUUGAUGUGCUUAUCAUGUUGUCUUACGUAUCAAAUUAUUUGUUGUCAUAUCUGUCCCCUUCACCAUACUGUGAGCUCCAAAGAAAAGAAGUGAUCUUUAUACUUCUUAUGCUUAGUACACAACUAGACAUAUAGUGUGUGUGUGAGAGAGAGAAUUUUUUAAUGAAAUAAUUGAAUACAUUGGAAGUGUUUCAUUCAAAAUACUCAUCCAUUAUUCUUUGGAUAGUAGCAUAAAUUUGAUGUUUUAUGUACAAAAGUAAAAACAUUUGAAAAAUA